GAUGAAAACGUAGCGAAAUGCGAUACGUAGUGUGAAUUGCAGAAUUCAGUGAAUCUUCGAAUCUUUGAACGCACAUUGCACCUCUCGGUAUUCCGGGAGGUAUGCCUGUUCGAGCGUCAUUUGUACCCUCAAGCUCUGCUUGGUGUUGGGUGUUUGUUCCGCCUCUGUGUGUGAACUCGCCUCAAAACAAUUGGCAGCCGGCGUACUUGUUUCGGAGCGCAGCACAUUUUGCGAUCCAGAUCAACGUACAGCGGCAUCCAAGAAGCCUUAUUUAACGCUCUUGACCUCGGAUCAGGUAGGGAUACCCGCUGAACUUAAGCAUAUCAAUAAGCGGAGGA
rnacentral:misc_RNA from 1 species